rnacentral:tRNA from 1 species
UCCUCCUUAGCUCAGUCGGUUAGAGCAUCUGACUGUUAAUCAGAGGGUCUCAGGUUCAAGUCCUGAAGGGGGAG